rnacentral:rRNA from 1 species
GUGAAUGCCGGGCGAGGAGCGGUGGUAGUAGGGGGGGGGCAAGCGGGGGUCGGGGUGUUUGGGCGUAAAGAGAGGGUAGGCGGCCAUACAGGGCAGCUGUGAAAACUCGAGGGUCAACCUCGAGACGUCGGUUGAAAUCGUAUGGCUAGAGUCCGGAAGAGGAGAGUGGAAUUCCCGGUGUAGCGGUGAAAUGCGCAGAUAUCGGGAAGAACACCCGUGGCGAAGGCGGCUCUCUGGGACGGUACUGACGCUGAGACGCGAAAGCGUGGGGAGCGAACAGGAUUAGAUACCCGAGUAGUC